GCAAGUCCAACUCUGUGGUCUCUUCUUUUCACUCUAAUUGUGCCAGUCUUUGUCCUGUUCGAACAACAAGAUGGGCUGUUGACUUAUGGGAUUCCUUCUACUGAAGAUCUUGCAACUCUGGAAAUAUUACACAGGCUUUGCAGUAGAAACUGUCAUAUGCCAGAAAUUCAGCUGAAUGCUUCUUGGAUUUCUCUGUCUGAGCACCAUGGAGAUGAUGUCUGUCACAAUUGUACAGCUGCUGCAAGUGAUGGUGUGAUAAUUUCCAAAGCUGUUUGUGACUGAAAAUUAAGUGAAGCUGUGACAUACCUGGAACAGUCUUACUUCAGUGACCUAAACUACUUACCUCUGAGAGGUCUGUGAAGAAUACAACACUUACUGUUCUGUCAGGUCUCUGCAACAUGAUUCUUACACUGAGAUGGAUCAAACCUGAGUGUGUGAUUUUAGAAAAGAAAGUGAAGAGAUUGAAAGAAUAAAACUGCUGAAUGUCAAACUCACAAGGACCUACUGAAAUUCAGGACAAAAUCCAAAUUCAGUUUGCAGGAAAUGGAGCAAAGCAAAGCAAACAGAAAAGAGUGGCAGGGUGUUAAUUGCAACCUGCCAUAAUUAAAGUGAAGCAUAGUCAAGGAACAGAUAUCCUCCCAGCUUUCAGCAUAAAAAUGAUAAUGGGCAGCAUCUCUGGACGCUUAGCACUGUUUUGAUAACCCUGGGAAGCUGCAGCAGGGAGAGCCUCAGUGACACACAAGUCUGUGUCUGAGAGCACACAUUAUCAGAUUUUGUUGUGACUCACAGAGGUAGUGGUUAAACUCCUCUUCUCCUGGCACGACCUCCCCACUUCAAGAAUGUUUUUUUAUGGAAGAAUAUAAAUUUGUGAACUCAUGAGUUUAUAUCCAGUCAGCAAGAUGGACCACUAAACUUGAGAACACUACAAAAAAUACAAUAGACAUGAAAGCCUGAAGAGCAUA